rnacentral:lncRNA from 1 species
AAAAAAAAACCUAUCUAUUCAAAUUGCUAAAAGAAAAGCAAGAACCAUUGUUGACCUAUCACAAAGCUUGCUAGUAUUUUGCUUGUUGCGGAGCUUAUAACUAUACCUACUACAAAGUCUACAAUGGCACCUAUUAUGGAGCUUGCCAUUAAGACGAUUGCAUUUGUAGCCGACUUUGUAUAGACAAAUACUCUAAAGUUUGCCAUCAUGCUUGCAUUUAUAAUGCCUCUUUCAAUAGCAAUAGUAUCUCCCUCAAGAAUAGAACAAGAAAUGUGUAAUCAACAAACAAGAAGCAAUAAGUAAACACAAAUUAAUAGAAGAAAUUAUAUAUCUUCUUAAGAUUGA